GCGAACAGGAUUAGAUACCCUGGUAGUCCAUGCCGUAAACGGUGGGCGCUAGGUGUGAGUCCCUUCCACGGGGUUCGUGCCGCAGCUAACGCAUUAAGCGCCCCGCCUGGGGAGUACGGCCGCAAGGCUAAAACUCAAAGGAAUUGACGGGGGCCCGCACAAGCGGCGGAGCAUGUGGAUUAAUUCGAUGCAACGCGAAGAACCUUACUGGGCUUGACAUACUCCAGAUCGCCGUAGAGAUACGGUUUCCCUUUGUGGUUGGUGUACAGGUGGUGCAUGGUUGUCGUCAGCUCGUGUCGUGAGAUGUUGGGUUAAGUCCCGCAACGAGCGCAACCCUUGUCUUAUGUUGCCAGCACGUUAUGGUGGGGACUCGUGAGAGACUGCCGGGGUUAACUCGGAGGAAGGUGGGGAUGACGUCAAAUCAUCAUGCCCCUUAUGUCCAGGGCUUCACACAUGUACAAUGGUCGGUACAACGCGUUGCGAGCCUGUGAGGGUGAGCUAAUCGCUGUAAAGCCGGUCGUAGUUCGGAUUGGGGUCUGCAACUCGACCCCAUGAAGUCGGAGUCGUAGUAAUCGCAGAUCAGCAACGCUGCGGUGAA
rnacentral:rRNA from 1 species